rnacentral:rRNA from 1 species
CAAGAGCGUAUGUAAAAGUUGUUGCAGUUAAAAAGCUCGUAGUUGAACCUUGGGUUUGGUUGGCCGGUCCGCUUUUUUGCGAGUACUGGAUUCAACCGAGCCUUUCCUUCUGGCUAACCAGUCGUUUCGGCGGCUGGCGAACCAGGAUCUUUACUUUGAGAAAAUUAGAGUGUUCAAAGCAGGCAUUAGCUUGAAUAUAUUAGCAUGGAAUAAUAGAAUAGGACGUUAUGGUUCUAUUUUGUUGGUUUCUAGGACCAUCGUAAUGAUUAAUAGGGACGGUCGGGGGCAUCAGUAUUCAGCUGUCAGAGGUGAAAUUCUUGGAUUUACUGAAGACUAACUACUGCGAAAGCAUUUGCCAAGGACGUUUUCAUUAA